rnacentral:rRNA from 1 species
UCGGGAAUUUUGGGCAAUGGGCGAAAGCCUGACCCAGCAACGCCGCGUGAAGGAUGAAGUAUUUCGGUAUGUAAACUUCGAAAGAAUAGGAAGAAUAAAUGACGGUACUAUUUAUAAGCUCCGGCUAACUACGUGCCAGCAGCCGCGGUAAUACGUAGGGAGCAAGCGUUGUUCGGAUUUACUGGGCGUAAAGGGCGCGUAGGCGGCGCGGUAAGUCACUUGUGAAAUCUCUGAGCUUAACUCAGAACGGCCAAGUGAUACUGCAGUGCUAGAGUGCAGAAGGGGCAAUCGGAAUUCUUGGUGUAGCGGUGAAAUGCGUAGAUAUCAAGAGGAACACCUGAGGUGAAGACGGGUUGCUGGGCUGACACUGACGCUGAGGCGCGAAAGCCAGGGGAGCAAACGGGAUUAGAUACCCCCGUAGUCCCUGAGCGGGCUGGCAAGGCGCAU